rnacentral:rRNA from 1 species
GAUGAACGCUGGCGGCGUGCCUAAUACAUGCAAGUCGAGCGAACAGACGGGGAGCUUGCUCCUCUGACGUUAGCGGCGGACGGGUGAGUAACACGUAGAUAACCUACCUAUAAGACUGGGAUAACUUCGGGGGACCGGAGCCAAUACCGGAUCAUAUAUUGAACCGCAUGGUUCAAUAGUGAAAGACGGUUUUGCUGUCACUUAUAGAUGGUUCCGCGUCGCAUUAGCUAGUUGGUAAGGUAACGGCUUACCAAGGCUACGAUGCGUAGCUGACCUGAGAGGGUGAUCGGCCACACUGGAGCUGAGACACGGUCCAGACUCCUACGGGAGGCAGCAGUAGGGAAUCUUCGGCAAUGGGCGAAAGCCUGACGGAGCAACGCCGCGUGAGUGAUGAAGGUCUUCGGAUCGUAAAGCUCUGUUAUUAGGGAAGAACAAAUGUAUGAGUAACUAUGCAUGUCUUGACGGUACCUAAAGAAAAAGCAACGGCUAACUACGUG